UACGGGAGCCGGGCUCCACCCACGACCUCUGCAGCAAGAGAGACUUCGCCCGGACUCCUACGGGAGCCGGACUCCACCCCACGACUUCUGCAGCAAGGAAGACUCCGCCCGCCCUGGCAAUGGCCCUUACGUGCCCUCGCGGGAACGGGAGGAGAACCUCAUCCUGAUGGUGACGAAACCUGGCCGCCCAACGAGAUCGGAUGAAGGGAAAAAGCCCCUUAGCGGCACCUCCACGCUCCUGUGCAACCCCGCAAAGGGCGAGGGGAGGGCCCUCACUCGGAGAAGAGGAGGAAAAUUAAAAAGAAAGGAUGACGAACUACGACGGAAACAGAUGAAGGACGAACUGCACCAAAAACCUAAAAGACUUCAUCCCAACGGAGAUGGGGAGUUCCUACCAAACACCCCCGGCCUCUAAAAAGACUCCCGACACAGGUCAAGAGGACAGCGACAUCCCCGAAGUAAUGUGGAGUUCGGACCGUCAAGCUCGGGCUUACGGCCAUGUACGACGAGGAAGGCAAGCUAACGCAUCGACGACUGGGCACCUCCCAACGAUGUCUACAUCAGACAAGACGAACGACAAGAAAAGUUCGGCGGACGACAAUCUAAUACAAUGCGCGGACGAGGUAACACAAAACAUCUUUUUCAUUCCAUU
rnacentral:lncRNA from 1 species